UGCUGUCACUUUUGGAGGAUAAGAUAGAAAAACCUCUUGGCCUCUUAUAAACCCCGAGCCCUGCUACCCAGUGCUCCCCGGUCUACUAGUGGCUGAACCCCAUUGUCCUGCACCAGGGUCAGGCCAUUUCCAGUGGUUACCACCCCCUGUGAGGCAGUCGGUGCCUAACCUGGCACUAUGACUUGCUGAGUCCUGCUUCCUUGGGCGUCAAGGGGGAUAAUGGUGUUAAUCACCUCCCAGGUUGUUUGAGGCUGAAGCUAAUUGCCGGUGAAAGCACUUGCUGUGCCACACGACGCUGAAUCCUGUUUUGGACAACAACUCUCCAGAUUUCAGUGGUUCGAUGGGGAGAAGUGGGACCUCCAGCCCCUGUGGUGCCGUGGCCUCAAGGCUGCCAGCCUAACCUCCCUCCGUGGGUCACUUCAUCCCAGGAAAACAGGCCAUCAUCCUGGCCCCACCUUCCUCCCUCCUGGUGCUAUGUAAGUAGGUAGAGCAGUUCAAUCCGCAGGGUUGAGGAAGAACCAGAACAGUGCGGCUGGGGAGAUGUCCUUUGAAGACUGACUCCGGAGAGAAGAGGGAAGGAAGGGAGAGAGAGAAGGAGGGAGAGGAAGAAAGAGAAUGCAGUCUCUCUGGGUUGCAGGUCGCCUCUGGUUGUGCUAUGCAGGACGCUGCCUCAGCAUGGCCUGAUGAACGGUGCUAUUUCCCUGCCCAGGAUCUCAAUUGGCGAAAUUCCGGGCCGUCGAAGUGGAGUGCGUGAACUGAACCACUUGGCCGCGGGGCCGGCUCCCUUUUAAUGAAUUAUUUAUGUCAUUUUGCCAGAAUUGAAUUCUGUGCUGUGGUCAGUCAUCUUUUCCAAAUGGUAUGUUUUUCAGGACGCAACAAGAUUUUAGGCAUUUAAAUUUGUUCCCUCUGUGCAUAGGGCUGGGCAAACACAACUGUUUCCCAUUAACUCAGCCACUCUGAGGCCUCCCUUCUCUCUGGUUUGGGCUGGAGAAGAAGCACAAGCAAGCCCUUCCCAGCUGUUUUUGUGUGGUUGGCAAAGGGCUAACAUCAGCCUUGGAAAAGGAAGGGCCUACAGCCGCUCUGACUCCACUCUGGGGCAGCUGGGCAAUAACGAAGCUGCAGGAUCCCCUUCUCAGGAGGAGCCAGGCUCAGCCUAUGUGUCCUUUGAGAAGGAAAGGGCACCCAGGAAGGGAAACCCCAAGGUUUAGAAAGUGUAGGAUUUGGGAGGCUGAGGUAACAGAGAGAACGAGAAUAUCCUCCCAUGUCUUAUUCUUGAGUUCAGGAGUUAAUAAACUACAUCCUGAAGCCAAAUCCAGCCCACUGUCUGUUUUUGUA
ensembl:lncRNA